AUUGAACGCUGGCGGCAUGCCUUACACAUGCAAGUCGAACGGCAGCAUGGGUGCUUGCACCUGAUGGCGAGUGGCGAACGGGUGAGUAAUGCAUCGGAACGUACCCGGAAGUGGGGGAUAACGUAGCGAAAGUUACGCUAAUACCGCAUAUUCUGUGAGCAGGAAAGCGGGGGAUCGCAAGACCUCGCGCUUCCGGAGCGGCCGAUGUCGGAUUAGCUAGUUGGCGGGGUAAAGGCCCACCAAGGCAACGAUCCGUAGCGGGUCUGAGAGGAUGAUCCGCCACACUGGGACUGAGACACGGCCCAGACUCCUACGGGAGGCAGCAGUGGGGAAUUUUGGACAAUGGGGGCAACCCUGAUCCAGCCAUGCCGCGUGAGUGAUGAAGGCCUUAGGGUUGUAAAGCUCUUUUCACCGGGGAAGAUAAUGACGGUACCCCGGAGAAGAAGCCCCGGCUAACUUCGUGCCCAGCAGCCGCGGUAAGAUCACGUGUA
rnacentral:rRNA from 1 species